rnacentral:rRNA from 1 species
GUAGUCUCGCACAGAUGCAUAUCAAUAAGCGGAGGAAAAGAAACUAACAAGGAUUCCCCUAGUAACGGCGAGUGAAGCGGGAAGAGCUCAAAUUUGAAAUCUUAAAGGAGUUUCCCUUUACGAAUUGUAGUUUAAAGAAGUGUUUUCUGUUGAGGUUUUGGUAAAAGUUCUUUGGAAUAGGACAUCAUAGAGGGUGAGAAUCCCGUAUUUGACCUUUACUUUCAACUUUGUGAUACACUUUCAAAGAGUCGGAUUGUUUGGGAAUGCAGUCCAAAAUGGGUGGUAAAUUUCAUCUAAAGCUAAAUAUUGGCGAGAGACCGAUAGCGAACAAGUACCGUGAGGGAAAGAUGAAAAGAACUUUGAAAAGAGAGUUAAACAGUACGUGAAAUUGUCAAAAGGGAAGCGUUUGACACCAGUGUUGUUUUUCUGAAAAUCAAUUAAAGAACUGUUUAUGCUAAGCUGUUUAGACUUUAUCAGCUAACUGUUUAGUUUUGAGCUUUUCUUUAAUGCACUUUUCAGUUAACAAGUCAACAUCAAUUUCUUUUGCUGUAAAAAAGCUUGAGGAAGGUGGCUUGAGAUUCGUCUUAAGUGUUUAUAGCCUCUUGCCUAUGCAGUCGGAGAGAUUGAGGUCUGCAGCGUAGAUCCUUCGGGGCUAAAUGCAUUUGUGCUAAGUUAUAGCAUUUUAUAGACAACUUGUUGACUAUGAUUUGUCUUGUAGCUUACUCGCUUAUGUUAUUUUACCUACGCUUAGGAUGUUGAAGACUCUACAGAGAUA